rnacentral:rRNA from 1 species
UACGGAGGGUACGAACGUUAAUCGGAAUUACUGGGCGUAAAGCGCGUGUAGGCGGCACGUCAAGCGGAGUGUGAAAGCCCCGGGCUUAACCUGGGAACUGCAUUCCGAACUGACGCGCUCGAGUACGGAAGAGGGAGGUGGAAUUUCCUGUGUAGCGGUGAAAUGCGUAGAUAUAGGAAGGAACACCGGUGGCGAAGGCGGCCUCCUGGUCCGAUACUGACGCUGAGACGAGAAAGCGUGGGGAGCAAACAGG